rnacentral:rRNA from 1 species
UACGUAGGGGGCGAGCGUUGUCCGGAAUUACUGGGCGUAAAGCGCACGUAGGUGGCAGUCUAAGAUGGGCGUGAAAUCUCCGGGCUUACCUCGGAGGGGUCGUCCGUGACUGGGCUGCUAGGGGCUGGUAGAGGCAGGUGGAAUUCCCGGUGGAGCGGUGAAAUGCGUAGAGAUCGGGAGGAACACCAGUGGCGAAGGCGACCUGCUGGGCCAGUACCGACGCUGAGGUGCGAAAGCGUGGGGAGCGAACCGG